UACGUAGGGGGCUAGCGUUGCUCGGAAUGACUGGGCGUAAAGCGUGCGCAGGCGGUUAUGCAAGACAGAUGUGAAAUCCCCGGGCUCAACCUGGGAACUGCAUUUGUGACUGCAUGGCUAGAGUACGGUAGAGGGGGAUGGAAUUCCGCGUGUAGCAGUGAAAUGCGUAGAUAUGCGGAGGAACACCGAUGGCGAAGGCAAUCCCCUGGACCUGUACUGACGCUCAUGCACGAAAGCGUGGGGAGCAAACAGG
rnacentral:rRNA from 1 species